GCUUCGAAUAGUAGUAUCAUCUUCUCCAUCUCUUCUUAUACUCUACUAUCAUUGAAAUUAUCCACCAAAUCACUUUAAAUCACCAUUUUCGUCCCUAAUUUGAGCUGCCCAAAAUAUUUGGACAGCUUUAUUGACCUCACAGAGAGCAAAAAUCCCUAGAUUAAUGCAACACUUGCUCACUAGAACGAACACGGAAAAUUGGCCGUGAAUUUUGGGAGAAAGCUAGAGUCCGAAGAUUAAAUGUUGAGGAAAACAAGAGCUAAGGGAUUGAAGGCAUAAUUUGUGGUAUUAAAGUAUAUAUACUUUCUCUUUUUCGCUGCUCUACUUUCCAGUUGUUGUGUGCCAAGUUUGAAGACUAUUGAACAAAUAAACAGUAAAGCUUAGGUCCCCCAAAGGCCAAACCGAUGAGAUUUGUAACAAAGCCCACUCUUACCACGAGAGAAAGAAAGCAGAACCUUGGUUCGCACUGCACAAUGUGCAACUGCAGUUAUUCUAUUCUUUUCCAAUGUUCAAGUAACCCUCAUAUGCGCUCUUAGUGUAAGUUAUGCAGUCUUGGUUUUGCAUGCUUCGUUCAGAAAACAAUCUACACGAAGUGACAGAAACAGGAGGAGCAGUAAAAGAUGAGGAGAAACGAUGAAGUGUUGAAGAUUACUAUCGGUACAUUGUAGAUGGCCAGACUGCCCGAACCAUAUCUGCUUGCCGAACCUAUUAGCUAUAUGUCCUGCAGAUACUAGUGUCCAAUUUUAUCAAAUCACAAACUAGGUUCGAUUCAUCUGUUCUUUUCUACCUCUCUCUUCUCUCGGGUACUUAGUUAUCGACUAGUUUAUCUUUUGGGAAGGAUAUGUAUUGGCCAUUACUAGAACUGAUUAUGUGGGAUUUGGGACCCAACAUUUGUGAUUCACUUUUGUUUUGAUUAAUUUAUAGAUGUGUUAUGCCCAAAUAUAUGAAU